GCGUGCUUUAGCUGUCAGCUCUGGAAAUGAUUUAUAUUUGUUAUUAAAUUUGCAGUAGCAUUUGAAUACUGAAGCCCUGGCAUUUGAUUGCCAUUAUUUGCCGACAGAAUGAGGGCAAUGGCGCACAGCCAGGGCAUUUGCUCGGCGGUCGUAAAGUGGCCCGCCCGAGUCCAUAUUGAAAAGUUGCAAUCGUAGCUGCUGACUGACCCGCCCGCCACUGCUCCAACUGACAAAUGGAAAUUCGUGGCGCUUUAAGGUUGUUUUUUCUUUAAGUGUAAAGAAAUCUUCGGGCUUUCUCAUUAUACAUACUUAUUUAUAAAAGACGCUGCCAGCUGUUCCACAGCUCAACGGAGCUGUCAUCUAUCACUUGCCCUUCGUGUCAAGUCGAGCCUAGACAGGAUAUUCUCUGCCCAGCGAAAGCUGAAAUCAUAUUUAUUUAGUGGAUUUGUUUAAUUUUCCAACCUGCUAACCGAUUAGAUUAACCGACAGCUUGAUAUAUACUAGAGAGUGCAAUUUUCCCUCCAAUUCGGGAACGAAAUCAAUUUCAAUUAUGCAUAAUAAUAUAAUUGAGAAUUUAUAUGGAAAUGUCGCAGUUGCACAAAUUGGCUCAGCUCUUCUUCUGGACGGACGUGCAGCGCACGUUUGUUGCCCUUCACAUAUUUGCAUACUAACGUUAGACCUAAAUAUUUUCAUUUUUCUGUAUAUAUUAUUUGUAUUUCUGUUCCUUUU